rnacentral:lncRNA from 1 species
CAUCAUCAACCAUAUCUCAAAACUUUUCAGCCUCAUGUUUAAGAAUCUUAUCAACAGGUGGCUUACUCAGUCGAAUCGGAUCUAUUACUUGCGGCACAACCGGGACUUGUUGAGAAACAGGUGGGGGUGGAGGUUGUUGAGUAGCUAGAUUCAUUCGUACGAAUUUUGUGAAUCACUUAGUCAUCAUUUGGAAGAAGGCUUGCUUAGCCUCUCCUCUCUGACUACUAGAUAUCA